UACGAAGGGGGCUAGCGUUGUUCGGAUUUACUGGGCGUAAAGCGCACGUAGGCGGAUCGGUCAGUCAGGGGUGAAAUCCCAGAGCUCAACUCUGGAACUGCCUUUGAUACUGUCGAUCUGGAGUAUGGAAGAGGUGAGUGGAAUUCCGAGUGUAGAGGUGAAAUUCGUAGAUAUUCGGAGGAACACCAGUGGCGAAGGCGGCUCACUGGUCCAUUACUGACGCUGAGGUGCGAAAGCGUGGGGAGCAAACAGG
rnacentral:rRNA from 1 species